UACGUAGGGUGCGAGCGUUAAUCGGAAUUACUGGGCGUAAAGCGUGCGCAGGCGGUGAUGUAAGACCGAUGUGAAAUCCCCGGGCUUAACCUGGGAACUGCAUUGGUGACUGCAUUGCUGGAGUAUGGCAGAGGGGGGUGGAAUUCCACGUGUAGCAGUGAAAUGCGUAGAGAUGUGGAGGAACACCGAUGGCGAAGGCAGCCCCCUGGGCUGAGAUUGACGCUCAGGCACGAAAGCGUGGGGAGCAAACAGG
rnacentral:rRNA from 1 species